ensembl:lncRNA novel transcript
CAUAGGCAUAUUAAAAAAAUUUAAGGUAAGUAAACCUGGUAGUUGCAUUAUAGAGAGAUUAAUCAGGUUACUGUGAAUGCACAAAAGUUGAAGAAGUAAGAGAUUAGAUGUCAGAGUGUCUAGUUAAAGGCCAAUACAAUAGUGUAAAAUCAGGUUAAGUUGAUUGCAGUAAAACAAACCAAUUCAGAAAAAAUUACAAAUAAUCUAACUAGAAAAAAUGAUUAAGGGAGAGGAUUUAGGUUUAGAGGAGCAACUAAGGAGGAGUAAAAAAUGAUAUGAGCUCAGAGCUGGAGAAGAGUGGAAUUAUUCAUGGAAAUUAGAAGGUCAGGAAUGGGGCCAAUUUCUAGAAGAUGUUAGGUUUUAGACGUGAUGAAUCUGAAAUGCUCAUGCUGAGUCUGAAAUGCUCAGACUGUAAAUCACUGGCCUAUACUCUUUACUUUAGUCCAUGCCAUCAGUUGCACCUUGUCUUUUCUAGCCACCUCAAAGUUCUUUCCAAUAAAGGAAGGCUCUUUCACGGUUCUAACUCCCUGAAAAACCAAGUAAAGUCUUCUGAUUCUUGACAUGUUUUGUCUUCAUCUGGAAAGUCAGAUUUAAUCAAACCUACUUCACUUGAAUCAUUUUUUAUUAGUAUAUCAAAAUCUCAACAGAGUUGUCAAUAGUCAAUUUUUUAUUUGUGAUCUUAUUGCAAAAAAAUCUAAAACAAAAAGGUAAUAAAAAUGCAUGUGAAAAUAUCAAUACCAAAACACAUGAAAUAUGUUUGGAGAAAUAAUCCUGACUUGAUCCUGACUAUAAAAUAUAGUUUCUUUUCAAAUUCUGCUAACCUGGAAAUAUAUUUACUUAGUUUUAUCCAGUGUAGAUAGAAUAUUGUACUUUGCUUUUGAAAAGAAAGGUUAAUUUUGGAUGAAAUAGAGUAGGAAAAGUGAGAGCUGAGAAUAACCAGCUUUUAUCUUCUUCCUUCCCGGCCACCGAAAGAAGCCAGUGCCUGGGAUUCUGAGAUGCAGCCACAUCAUAAAGUUUCAUUACUCAAUUGCAGUAGAGAAAACCUCAAAGGAACCACUUCUAAUGGAAACUGCCUCAAUUCCUGGUCAAGUCUCACAGUCUAACCUGGAGGUGCUCUGAGAUGUGACUAAGUUAAGGAUUUUGAGAUGAAGAGACCAUCCUGAAUUAUCUGAGUGGGUCCUGAAUGUCAUCACAAGAAGCCUUAGAAGAGAGAAGCAUGAAAACCAGAAGAGGAGGAAGAGGCAACCGGGCCAUGAAGACAAGAGAUUAGAGUGAUGUGGCCACAAGUCAAGAAGUGCCGGCCUCCAGCAAAAAACUGGAAGUCAGGAGCAGGAUCUCUCCUAGAGCCUGUGGAGGGAAUGUAACCCUGCCAAUAACUUGAUUUUGGCCCAGAGAAACUGACUUCAGACUUCUGGCCUUCAGGAUGGCGAGAGAAUUAAAUCGCUGUUGUUUUUAGCCCAGUAUGUGGUAAUUUUGUUACAACAGCCACAGAAAACUAGUACAGUGGAUUUUUAGCAGUAGAAUUAAAUUAGCAGUGGAUUAAAGAGCAGUAGAAUUGUGAUUUUAUCAACACUUACUGGAUGGCAGAUUUCCUCUGCAGCAGAAGAGAAUAAAAUGUUGCCUAGGUGAUGCUGACCACCAAAACUUCUGCCAUGGACUCAGCAGUGUGAACAGACCCUGGGAAUCUAUGUACACAUAAAACACCAUGAACAUUUUGCAUUUUCUGAUUUGAACUGAAUAGGCGUUCUACUCUGUAAAUAUUUACAAAAAAACUAAAUAUAUAUUUAUGUUAACCCUUUGCUAGAGAUUUUUAAACAAACAAAAAAAUACCAGAUCUUAUUCACCAUUUUUGAUGUCAGUAAAGUGUGUUACGCAAAUUGGCUUCAAAAAUUAAAACCUGUAACAAACUUUGAGUCUUGAAAUGCAUGCUAUGUAUGAUCUUAAAAACAUGUAGGUAGGCUUAUUAGUUCAUAGAGGUUCAUAGUAUUUCAUAUGUUUUUCAGACUAUAUGUAGGGAAUUGCUGACAAAUCUUGGUAUCACUAAAUCCAUUAUCAUGUUCUGAAAUGUCACCAAAUUGAGCCUACAUAUUGUGAAGAGUGAGUGUAUGGCCAUAUAGUGUAUGGCCUCAAGAUUUUGUCUUAUAAUUUAAGUUUCAAUGUCCACACCUCAUCUAAAUUAGGGUACCAUUUGGACUAUCAUGUUUAAUAAAUUU